rnacentral:lncRNA from 1 species
GUGUAAUGAAGACCAGUAAACUGAGAGGUGUUUGAACAGCCUGCCCUUCAGCAUCCAGAAGUAAAACUGAAACCAAGGACUCCCUUCUGUGAAGGAAGCUUCUUGUAUUGCAAGACAGAUGAAAGAGAUAGUGUGACAGAUACCCAGAAUAAACUACUUAUGGCACUGCAUCAGGAGAAAACAACCACAAUGGCAGUCUUCCAAAUGUCCAAGAGGUUUGCAAGGCUAUAUUAACAAGGACAAUCACAUGAGCUGAUCUGUCCUGAAGAAAGAGAGUUGAUAUACUGCAACCAGCAUACCAUGGCAAAAGCAGAUCUGGAGAGCAAAGCAGUUCUUGCCGAGACACAAACUUCUAUUCUUCCAUGAUGCAAACAUAAGAAUGAUAAGACAAGAAAACUGGGAAAUUUGUUACAACAGUAUGACUCACCAGUUAUUAAUACCAUAUUUAGUGAAGAUGACCAGAAAGCUAGUGGAGGAAUACAGACUUCUUUGUUUGAAGAAAUAAA